UAGGGAAUCUUCCGCAAUGGACGCAAGUCUGACGGAGCAACGCCGCGUGAGUGAAGAAGGAUUUCGGUUCGUAAAACUCUGUUGUUAGAGAAGAACAGCGCAUAGAGUAACUGUUAUGCGUGUGACGGUAUCUAACCAGAAAGCCACGGCUAACUACGUGCCAGCAGCCGCGGUAAUACAUAGGUGGCAAGCGUUGUCCGGAUUUAUUGGGCGUAAAGCGAGCGCAGGCGGUCAAUUAAGUCUGAUGUGAAAGCCCCCGGCUCAACCGGGGAGGGUCAUUGGAAACUGGUUGACUUGAGUGCAGAAGAGGAGAGUGGAAUUCCAUGUGUAGCGGUGAAAUGCGUAGAUAUAUGGAGGAACACCGGUGGCGAAAGCGGCUCUCUGGUCUGUAACUGACGCUGAUGCUCGAAAGCGUGGGGAGCGAACAGG
rnacentral:rRNA from 1 species